AGGAUUUGACAUGCUAGAUAGUUGCUUGAAAGAGUAACGUGCCGUAAGGAAUCUAGACAC
rnacentral:rRNA from 1 species